GCGGUUCCCAGGCUACUUCCAAACCUCAUG
rnacentral:piRNA from 1 species